ACAUGUUGCAGCCUGAGGCAGGCAGGCAGGCAGCUGAGGGCCUGACUGAUUAAUAAGUCAGAGUCCAGAGGUCCUCCACUCCUGGGCGUCCUCUCUUCUUUCACAAGAGCCUGGUUGUUACUUCAUCUCCACAUUGCUCAAAGGGCAGCACAGCAGGGAGGGAUGGAUGUAGGGGGGCAGGCCUCAUCCUCACUACCAUCACCUGAGGCUUUACACAUGGAGAUAACAGCCUCACGUCAACUUUCUGUUCUCUUGUGGCUAUUAUAUUCCCCUAUUUUCUUAAAAACAAGGGAAAAUGAGUGAAAAAAGCCUAAUGACUUUGUAGCAGCAGUGAAAAGAAGGGGGAAAAGUCAACCUCCAGCUGAAGGCCUUUGUGCUAUCAGAUAGCCACGUUCUGGGAGGAGGGAGGCCGGCCGGGACACACUAUACACCAUUAGCAUCUGCAAAGGCCGUCACGUUGACUAAUAGCCAGAGCCACAACGGCACAGUGGUUCAGUUUGUGUUUUCCCUCAAUCCCCUUUAUGCUGGUGACACAAAAGCAGCCAGGCCAGACCUUUCAAAUAUGCCACAGCAGCGGACGUGCACAAAGCUUCAUUUCUAGUCUUUCUUAAGAAAAAGAAAGGGUGAUCUUGUUGCUUCGUGUUUUUUAAUCCCCCACCUCAUCACACAGACACAUUCUGGGUCUUUUGGCAGGGGGUGUGGCGGGUCGGUAUAUGAUGAAAACGUUGAAUAAGUCUUAGAAAAGAGCAAUAAAUUGUGGGGAUGGGUGUUUUUUGGCAGUAGUAGCAGUGUUAGCAUUUGUUUGCCUUCUUGUUGCCGACGCUGCCUUUGUUCGCGUCUUUCUGUCCCCUCAGUUAUCGAGCUGUCGGUUGAGGCUGUGGGAGAAGCAGAGAUUCUGGCGACCAGAUUAACGUGUAUGGCUGUCAACUGAUGGGAUCCUGGCUCACACUGACUGCACAGCUGCUUUAAAGCUUCCUCAGCCGACAAAACCUUCUACUGUCCCCGGGGCCCGUUGCUUUCUGCCCUGCAGAGAAUAGCGUCACAAUUGGCCUUUGUGUUCAUUAUGUUGGAGGCAUCUUCCCAUUGCGCUGUGGGGUCCAUUCCAAUGCUGAAUUAGGCCCAUGGGGAUUUUAGCCAAGUCACAAAGGGGUGGCCGGGCAGAGGACCACUGCAUGUUCUCACCAUUCAAGUCUGACGUCCACCCUGAAAAAAUCCAUAAAAUGACCUCCUCGUCUCACGGCACGGGAUGUCAUUAAUGAAUCAGCCCAUUGUGGAGAGAAACAGUCUCUGUUAAUGAAUCCAUGAUGGUGGAUCUAUAUUUUCCUACUAAUCCCCCACUAUGCAGGGUGUCCGCUCACACACGGGGUCGCCCAACACACAACGGAAAAAAACUAACACAAGAGCUGUCAGGACU